rnacentral:rRNA from 2 species
UGGUGGAAAGCUUUUGCGGUUUUGGAUGGACUCGCGGCCUAUCAGCUUGUUGGUGGGGUAAUGGCCUACCAAGGCGACGACGGGUAGCCGGCCUGAGAGGGUGACCGGCCACACUGGGACUGAGACACGGCCCAGACUCCUACGGGAGGCAGCAGUGGGGAAUAUUGCACAAUGGGCGGAAGCCUGAUGCAGCGACGCCGCGUGAGGGAUGACGGCCUUCGGGUUGUAAACCUCUUUCAGUAGGGAAGAAGCUUUCGGGUGACGGUACCUGCAGAAGAAGCGCCGGCUAACUACGUGCCAGCAGCCGCGGUAAUACGUAGGGCGCAAGCGUUAUCCGGAAUUAUUGGGCGUAAAGAGCUCGUAGGCGGUUUGUCGCGUCUGCUGUGAAAGACCGGGGCUCAACUCCGGUUCUGCAGUGGGUACGGGCAGACUAGAGUGAUGUAGGGGAGACUGGAAUUCCUGGUGUAGCGGUGAAAUGCGCAGAUAUCAGGAGGAACACCGAUGGCGAAGGCAGGUCUCUGGGCAUUAACUGACGCUGAGGAGCGAAAGCAUGGGGAGCGAACAGGAUUAGAUACCCUGGUAGUCCAUGCCGUAAACGUUGGGCACUAGGUGUGGGGGACAUUCCACGUUUUCCGCGCCGUAGCUAACGCAUUAAGUGCCCCGC